rnacentral:lncRNA from 1 species
UAGAUUCAUAGUAUAAUAACUUUUAUAGUAUUUUGUGGUAAGUUAAUGAAACCUUUCACAAUCACAUUAUUAAUUUAGUAUUCAUGAAGUUUUUGAUUUUAGUGAUGUUUACAGUACAUGUAAUGUUUCUUCUUUCAGAUGAUAUUCCUUGUUCCUUCGAUGGUUCAUUCCACUAUACAGCUGGAUCAUAUACCCUACAACAGCCAGGAGUUGGUCUGUUUACUUUAAGAUCCCAAGAAAAUGUAACAUAUUUUGGAUGUGCUUUGAGGAAUCAGGAAUGCAAGUGUUUCAUCUUGUUUAUGAAGCAACUCAGUUGGUUAAGGGGCAGACAACUUGUGAGCAUGGUACAUCACUAACUGUAUUGGUAUUCCAUUUUGACAAUGUUGCUAGCUAGAAUAGAAAUAACAUUUUGCUGUGGUACCGUCUGUGGAGACUUUUACUAGGAUAUCACAGAUUGAUUGAAUAUUCAACAAUGAUCACAGACCAUGCAAAGUUUGAAUCUG